rnacentral:ncRNA from 1 species
GUGUUGUAUAAAAGGAGAGGGUAGCACUUCCCUUGACAAGAAUGGAAGAGGACCUCAGGCUUCAUGACUGAAAAAGGCAUUGGCAUCUACUUCAUGGGAGCUAACCACCAUUAUUU